ACUAAACAGCAGAGUGACCUUGCUGCUGAAAACUAUAUGGCCUUUGCUGAUUGAUCUGUAGCUGCCUAGUGUUACUUUUUAAUUAUCCAGUAGUCCUGUGUUCCAGGAGCUAUCAUUUGACUCAUUGUGUCUAAUAUUGACCCAA